AUGGAUCCUAUAGAUAGAUUUUUCAUCUUUGUCAGAAAGUAUGUCAUUCAAAGAGCAGAGGAUCAGUUUGGGAUCCCAGGUGAUAUCCCAAUUCCUAUCUAAAGAAAAGGUCUUGGUUUGCACACCUGUUCUGAAACUGCCUCUCUGCCUUCGUCUUGGAAGCGGACGGCAAUCUGAGCUUGUCAAAGUUUGUGUUCUAAAGCCAGUCUCUGCAGUGGGAAAGAUGCUACACGGCACCUGCAGUGCACAUUACUCUCAAGCAAGCUCCAGUCAGAAUGGAUGUCAAGGUUCAAGCACGGCCAUGAGGCUAAAGAUAAUCCUGAUAAUAAGAGGCCAGGACACCAUUCAAGUCUCACCACCCAUUAUACAGCUUUCAAAACAAAGGAGUUUGAUAACGUGCUGAGUUCAUCAUCCAGCCAUGAAUUAAUUAAGAUGAGUAUACUUGCGACCAAGGUACCUGGAAGCAAAUUUUUCUUUUUUCUGAGGUGGGAGGCAAGGAUAUAACAUUGAUGCAAUCUGGCAACAAGAGAUGUGACUAAAAACAUCCACUGGACACCUCAUUAGUUCCAGACACUGUACUGGAGACCAGACUGUUGGAACAAUCCAAGUAGGAAAAUAUCGGUGUUGCUGCCCUCAAGGACCUGAGUAUCGUCGGGAAAUGAAUGAACCACUCAAAGACCUCUCCUGACAAAAAUAGAAGAGCUGGAACAGGUACUAUGACCUAGAGUAAAGCUGGGGAGAGAACUUUCUCAGGGUAGCUCACUCAGGAAUGCCCCAUCUUUAGGAACAUACACGGCACAAAGUAAGGAUUCUGCAUGAGAAAACUUCUUUUGAAUUUUGUCUUAAACAAUCAGUAAGACUUUGUCAUAUGGGGGGAAAAAAAGGAGUUACUCAGGGUAAAAAGCAGGAGUAAGUAGAGGAAUAGAAAUGGAACAUUUUGGGGCACCUGGGUGGCUCAGUUGGUUAAUUGUCUGAUUAAUCAUGACUCAGGUCAUGAUCUCAUGGUUUGUGGGUUCAAGCCCCAUGUCAGGCUCUGUGCUGACAGCU